GUACCGCGGCUGCUGGCACGUAAUUAGCCGAGGCUUCCUCCAAAGGUACCGUCAAUCCCAGCAGUUAUUAUCUACUGGGGUGUUCUUCCCUAAGGACAGAGCUUUACGACCCGAAGGCCUUCAUCACUCACGCGGCGUUGCUCCGUCAAGCUUUCGCUCAUUGCGGAAGAUUCCCCACUGCAGCCUCCCGUAGGAGUCUGGGCCNGUGUCUCAGUCCCAGUGUGGCCGAUCACCCUCUCAGGUCGGCUACCCAUUGUUGCUUUGGUAGUCUCUUACACUACCAACAAGCUAAUGGGACGCGGGCCCAUCCCUAAGCGAUAGCAGAGCCAUCUUUGGAUAUUAGGCAUUAGCUUUCCUUUCGAAAANNGUAUCCUAACNUUAGAGUAGGUAACCCACGCGUUACUCACCCGUUCGCCGCUUUACUCACUACCCCGAGGUAGCUUUCUCGCGCAACUUGCAUGUGUUAAGCACGCCGGCAGCGGUCGUCCUGAGCCAUGAUCAAACUCAAGGCGA
rnacentral:rRNA from 1 species